UGAGGAAUUUUCCGCAAUGGGCGAAAGCCUGACGGAGCGACACCGCGUGAAGGAUGAAGCUUUUCGGAGUGUAAACUUCUUUUAUGUGUGAAGAUUAUGACGGUAACAUAUGAAUAAGCACCGGCUAACUACGUGCCAGCAGCCGCGGUAAUACGUAGGGUGCAAGCGUUAUUCGGAUUUACUGGGCGUAAAGAGUGUGUAGGCGGUUUUGUAAGUUAGAUGUUAAAUAUGAGGGCUCAACCCGCAUGCUGCAUCUAAGACUGCAAGACUUGAGAGUGGAAGAGGCAAAUGGAAUUCCUGGUGGAGCGGUUAAAUGCGUAGAUAUCAGGAGGAACACCAAUGGCGAAGGCAGUUUGCUGGGCCAUUUCUGACGCUGAGACACGAAAGCGUGGGGAGCGAUCGGG
rnacentral:rRNA from 1 species